rnacentral:lncRNA from 1 species
AUGCUAUGUGAUUUAUAAACACUUGAUGAUUUGCAUGUAAUUAAAAUAAUAUGAAAUCGGUAAGGUUAUCUAGAAAAUAAAAGAAACAAAAAAAGAGAGAAAUUUAGAAUAAAGUAUGAAUGGUCCGAGUAUGUAUCUUUAUUGAUAUACAUAAUGCAUCAAAUGUCUCGUUAGACUUUUUAUCUUUUAGAAGUAUCUGUUCCCCUAACCCCACCCAGGGUAUCUGUUUCCCCUCCCCCAUCUAGUCUGGAAACACUUAAAAGGAUUACUCCCUGUGGAUAACGACGUACCAUCUGAAGAGAGUGGUGAUGCGUAUAUCUGUUAGGUGUCACCCUUGG